rnacentral:rRNA from 1 species
UGCGUAGGUGGUGUCGUGUGUCGGGUGUGAAAGCUCACCGCUCAACGGUGAGAUUGCAUUCGAAACUGCGGCACUAGAGUACUGGAGAGGAGAGCGGAAUUCUUGGUGUAGCGGUGAAAUGCGUAGAUAUCAAGAAGAACACCGGUGGCGAAGGCGGCUCUCUGGACAGAUACUGACACUGAGGCACGAAAGCUGGGGGAGCAAACAGGAUUAGAUACCCUGAUAGUCC